AACGAACGCUGGCGGCAGGCCUAACACAUGCAAGUCGAGCGCGCCCUUCGGGGUGAGCGGCGGACGGGUGAGUAACGCGUGGGAACGUGCCCUUUUCUACGGAAUAGCCUCGGGAAACUGAGAGUAAUACCGUAUACGCCCUUUGGGGGAAAGAUUUAUCGGAAAAGGAUCGGCCCGCGUUGGAUUAGGUAGUUGGUGGGGUAAUGGCCUACCAAGCCGACGAUCCAUAGCUGGUUUGAGAGGAUGAUCAGCCACACUGGGACUGAGACACGGCCCAGACUCCUACGGGAGGCAGCAGUGGGGAAUCUUAGACAAUGGGGGCAAACCUGAUCUAGCCAUGCCGCGUGAGUGAUGAAGGCCUUAGGGUUGUAAAGCUCUUUCAGCUGGGAAGAUAAUGACGGUACCAGCAGAAGAAGCCCCGGCCAACUCCGUG
rnacentral:rRNA from 1 species